ACUCUCACCACCACCACCACCAUCACCACCACCACCACCAUCAACAGCGGCCUCCUAUACACCCGCCACGGUCUUAGCGUGCGAGCUGUGGCCUCUGCGUUGCACGUGCUCUCCCCUCGCUGCCCUCGUUGCCUCCUUCUCUUCCCCUCGCUGGCCGCCUCCGCGAUGGCGACGUCGAGGGCCGCUCUCUGCGCUGUUGCGGUCGUGUGCGUGGUGCUUGCGGCUGCCUGCGCGCCUGCGCGCGCGAUAUACGUGGGCACGCCGGCUGCUGCGCUGUUCGAGGAGUUCAAGCGGACGUACCGGCGCGCGUACGGGACGCUGGCCGAGGAGCAGCAGCGGCUGGCGAACUUCGAGCGCAACCUGGAGCUGAUGCGCGAGCAUCAGGCGAGGAACCCACACGCGAGGUUCGGGAUCACGAAGUUCUUCGACCUGUCGGAGGCGGAGUUCGCCGCGCGCUACCUGAACGGCGCCGCGUACUUCGCAGCGGCGAAGCAGCACGCCGGCCAGCACUACCGCAAGGCGCGCGCGGACCUGUCGGCGGUGCCUGAUGCGGUGGACUGGCGCGAGAAGGGCGCCGUGACGCCGGUGAAGAAUCAAGGCGCGUGCGGGUCGUGCUGGGCGUUCUCGGCGGUCGGCAACAUCGAGUCGCAGUGGGCCCGUGCCGGCCACGGCUUGGUGAGCCUGUCGGAGCAGCAGCUGGUGAGCUGCGAUGACAAAGACAACGGUUGCAACGGCGGGCUGAUGCUGCAGGCGUUCGAGUGGCUGCUGCGACACAUGUACGGGAUCGUGUUCACGGAGAAGAGCUACCCCUACACGUCCGGCAACGGUGAUGUGGCCGAGUGCUUGAACAGCAGUAAACUCGUUCCCGGCGCGCGAAUCGACGGCUACGUGAUGAUCCCGAGCAACGAAACAGUUAUGGCUGCGUGGCUUGCGGAGAAUGGCCCCAUCGCGAUUGGGGUCGACGCCAGCUCCUUCAUGUCUUACCAGAGCGGCGUGCUGACCAGCUGCGCUGGCGAUGCACUGAACCACGGCGUGCUGCUCGUCGGGUACAACACGACUGGUGGGGUUCCGUACUGGGUGAUCAAGAACUCGUGGGGUGAGGACUGGGGCGAGAAGGGCUACGUGCGCGUGGCCAUGGGGCUGAACGCGUGCCUGCUCAGUGAAUACCCCGUGUCCGCGCAUGUGCCGCAGAGUCUCACCCCUGCCUCGACGGCGAGCGGGAAUUUUUGUGAGGCAUGCUGGACAGUGAUGCUGCACCGCAUCCUGAGCGUUCUAAAAACGAAUGGCUGGUUAUUGGGAAGACGGCCGAGUGCACGGUGGAGAGAAGACGGGGCGCGGGGUGGGCAGUGAAGGAUUUUUCUCUACGUGAAUGCUUACUUGUUGCGCUAUUAUGACACCAGCGGCGAGACCGGCUCCCUGUGUCGUGACGCGAUGAAUGAGGAGAGCGGUGAGGGUCGCGUAGUGUGGGGACACUGAGGUGUGCACGCGUCUCUGGUGAAUAAUGUGCUGGCUAAUAGAGAGGUGAGGUGAGCUGUGCGGAGGUGCAAUUGGGAGGACCGAGUGGCAUGGUGGCAGUCAAGGCGGAGGACGAAAUUGUGUGCAUCCGCACUAGUGCAUCCUCGCCGUGUGAUUCGUCUCAUGCUCGGGCUCUUGCUGGAUUCGCUGUUACCGUGUCCUCAGGGUGUGGGAAGCGUGCUCCGUUUAGCUGCCGCUGCUGCACCACGGCCGCCCGCACAGGUUUCCCCCGCUUUUCACUCUGUAUCAUGUUGCCCUGGCCCUGUGGUGGAUGGGGAGGGGGUGCGUGACGGCCCUGUGAUCAUGAUCCGCACACACCGACACACGUAUUCUUGCAGGCAUACAAAACGUAAAGAAACAAAAGGCGGUGUAUCCCAGUCAACGUAAAUCGUAACACUGUCUUGUCUUUCGCUCUAUUCUCUCUUAUUUUUUAUUUUAAAUUUUUAUUUUGCGUCAAUCACCCUCUCAUCAUCAUCCCCUCUCUCCCUUUCUCCCUCACACACAUACACACAUGUUCAGGCACGAAGGCAGGCAAUCAGGCGCUUGAGAGCACAAGUGAGGGGGCAGCGAUAAGCCGAAGCGGAUGACGAAACUCCACGGAGUGAGUAUCGUUUCCCGUGCUUCAUACCGAAACAAAAAGAAGCCGGCAGCAUCUCUUCUAAAAAACGGUACCACGCUCAAGCCACUGCGGGUGACAUCAGUGCUCUUUCUCUCUGCGUGUUUGCCUGUGUGUGUGCUCUCAACCCUUUCUUAUUUUUGUGUAUCUCCUGUGGCGCUCGCGAUUCUCGCAUGAGGGGUGGGGGCGGGGACUGUACGUCUGUGUGUGUGUGCAAGCGAUGCGCCUGAUGGUGAUGGGCUUGUUGUGGAUCUGUCGUUAGCGUUUUCUUAUUCUCUCUUCUGCCGCGUUUCUCUGCGGUGCGCAGCAGCCUCGUCUGCCGAUGCGCCUGAGCGCGUGGAGGAGGACGAGCGUAUUCUAUCAACCUCCCCCAAAGAAAAAAACAUGAAAGGCCGAGCUGUCCCGGAAAUAUACGUAUAGCAACCGUGGAACUACAAGAGCCCUCCACACCUCCCUUCUGUGAAGCAGCAACAGUAGAGGGGAGGAAGAGGAGCGAAGCACAAGCCACACCAGGAAAACUUGGGGGGGGGAGAAGGGAGAACAUUACGUGCGUGUGUGUGUGUGUGUUUGUUGGGCUCUUCACGCCUCUCUCUCGUUCGCUCUUUGCUGUUGCUGCUUGACGCCCACUCGUGCCGCCCUCCUCCUCCUCUUCCUCCGUUGACGCGUCUUGCUUGCUUUUCCGCUGCUUAUGCACGCACCUCCCCCCCGUGUAGGUGUACAGAUGUUGUUGGGCGAGUGCUCAUCGUGUUCACGCACAUGCGUUUAGUGGAGGGGUGAGGAGAGGCGGGAGGUGAGGGAUGGCAAAAGAGGAGUCGUCGGAGAAGCAUCGCCGAGCGAGGAGAAAAUCAACGCCGCGGCGAAGCUCUCUCCUUUCUCCUGUCGAUGAUGCAACACGACGACAUGCGAGAGCCACUUGCGGAGGGAGUGGAGGAUGAGGGAGGAGAGCAGCAGCAACAGGGGCGCCAGCUCAAGGAGGCGGCGGCGCACAUUGGCCGAUAACCAUGCUCAAAGGCGCGGCAUAGCGGAGUGGGUCGACACCCAGUGCGCACAGCCGCCGAUAUCCUUCUUCUCCUAAACCACUUACCCCAUUCGAUGACAUGUGAAGUCAUGGUUGAAGUGCCCGAAAGAAAAAAAGGAGAUUAAGGCGAGCCUCGUCUGAGGAUGGGCGAUGAACGCAGCGAUCCCCACCUCGCUUAUGGGCGAGGGUAAGGUGGGGGGGGGAG
rnacentral:misc_RNA from 1 species